rnacentral:rRNA from 1 species
UUAGCGGCGGACGGGUGAGUAACACGUGGGUAACCUACCUAUAAGACUGGGAUAACUUCGGGAAACCGGAGCUAAUACCGGAUAAUAUUUCGAACCGCAUGGUUCGAUAGUGAAAGAUGGCUUUGCUAUCACUUAUAGAUGGACCUGCGCCGUAUUAGCUAGUUGGUAAGGUAACGGCUUACCAAGGCAACGAUACGUAGCCGACCUGAGAGGGUGAUCGGCCACACUGGAACUGAGACACGGUCCAGACUCCUACGGGAGGCAGCAGUAGGGAAUCUUCCGCAAUGGGCGAAAGCCUGACGGAGCAACGCCGCGUGAGUGAUGAAGGUCUUCGGAUCGUAAAACUCUGUUAUUAGGGAAGAACAAACGUGUAAGUAACUGUGCACGUCUUGACGGUACCUAAUCAGAAAGCCACGGCUAACUACGUGCCAGCAGCCGCGGUAAUACGUAGGUGGCAAGCGUUAUCCGGAAUUAUUGGGCGUAAAGCGCGCGUAGGCGGUUUUUUAAGUCUGAUGUGAAAGCCCACGGCUCAACCGUGGAGGGUCAUUGGAAACUGGAAAACUUGAGUGCAGAAGAGGAAAGUGGAAUUCCAUGUGUAGCGGUGAAAUGCGCAGAGAUAUGGAGGAACACCAG